rnacentral:misc_RNA from 1 species
GAUGAAGAACGCAGCGAAAUGCGAUACUUGGUGUGAAUAGCAGAAUCCCGUGAACCAUCGAGUCUUUGAACGCAAGUUGCGCCCGAAGCCAUCAGGUUGAGGGCACGUCUGCCUGGGCGUCACAUAUCGUUGCCCAAUGCCUAUUGCAGUGCAAUAGGAAUUUCUAGGGCGAAUGAUGGCUUCCCGUGAGCGUUGUUGCCUCGCGGUUGGUUGAAAAUCGAGUCCUUGGUAGGGUGUGCCAUGGUAGAUGGUGGUCGAGUUAGAACGAUACCGAUCAUGUGCAUGCUCCCCAAAAUAUGGCCUCUAUGACCCACACGCGUCUUUUGACGCUCAUGACGAGACCUCAGGUCAGGCGGGGCUACCCGCUGAAUUUAAGCAUAUCAAUAAGCGGAGGA